GAGUACCAGGCCUGGGGAGGCCCCUCGCGGCGCCUGCUGCCCCGGGGUCCCGGGAGUCGUUGGGCGCUCCCUCGCCCCCGAGCCGGACUCCCUCCCUGCCAGACCCUCGCCGGGUUUCCUAGGGCCUCCCCUCCGCCGGGGGUCACUUCCUCUGAUGCCGCCCGACCCCCACGCAGGCCUUCCUCCCAUUGCUAUACCCUCGUCUCCCAAAGUUCUUCCUUCAGCUAGGGGGACCCCCUUCCCGAAUCCUGCUGCGGGGUGGGGGUGUCUCGGUGCCCUGUUGGCUCCCACGCUUAGAAUUAGCCGCUUAAUCACUUCUCCUUCUCCUGAUGCUGGAUCUUCGAAAUUUGCCCACCGCCGGAGUGCAGUGCCUUCCUCCCAGGGCACCUCUAUUUUUAGCACACCCCGCUUCUCACCUCCCCACCCUCGGUCUCACAUUCAGGACCCUCCCUGGGUCUUCCCUCUCUUCUGUCUACCGGCAUUUCUAUUUCUCUCUUUUCUCCUUCCCCUUUUUAAAAGUUGUGUUGGGCAGAGAAAAGGACCCCUUUCUUCUGAUAGGUGGAAUAAUAAUACUUACGGAGUGCGUAGAACGUGCCAAACCUGUGCUACGCACUUGGGGUAUGUGCCUUAUUGUGAUGAUUAAUAAAUAAGUUGCUACGUGUAAAGUGCGUUGAACAGUGCCUGGCACAUAGGCAGUGCCCAGUUACUAUUAAUCAUGACCAUCAUUAUCACUCUUAUUUAAACUUCUCCUGGGGGUAGCUGUUAUUCCAAAUUACAGAUGAAGACACCAAGGUGCAGUUUCAGAGCGGAGCUGCCCUGCAAACCCAGAUUUGCAAACCCCCGCACUGUGGAGUUGGGUUCCUGGACCCUUGCCCACUCAGCGACAAAUGUUCUCAGAGCCCCUUUCUGCCUCUGGGCUUGGUGGAGAAGGGCCUAGAACUGUGACUGCCACCUGGUAACCCUCAGCAAACGUUUGGUGAAUGAAAGAACGAUCACGUGAUUCCUUACUUGCCAACAGAGAUUUAUCACAACCAGUCUGGGAGACAAUCAUGACAAACACCUGGCCUUUACGGAUGGCCCAGGAAUGGUCACUACGGGCUACCAUUUACCUUUUACGUGGAUGAUGUUACUUAGCUCCUCAGCAACCUAUGAUGUGGGUGUUACUAUCCCCACUUCACGGAUUAAACGGCUGAGGCCUGUGGAAGUUAAGGAAAACUUGUCCAAGGCCUUAAGCUGGUAAACACCA